AGUACACAUAUCCUUGAAUUCAUCCAUUCCUUAUUCAUUCUCAAAGUCAAAAUAUACUAUGAAAGAAAACUAUGUUAAUUUAUAAGCUCUUAUUUUUAAAGAUGAAAUGUGAUAAAGACUAAUCUAAUCAUACACUGUACCUGUAUCUCUUAUCAAUUACUUAAAUGUCUUGUGUAAGAAACAGGAAGUCACAAACACACAGUAACCAUUUGACACUUCAUAAUCCACACUUAUAAGAAGAGCUGAGUAGGCGGCCAGACGCUUGCAGCUAGCAGCACCCAACUUUCCAACAUGAAACAUGGGGGGUAUGGGAGUGUCACAGGUCAGUCGGGGUCGAUCCCAGUGCCACACUUUAGGAAAUAUCAGCAUCUUUAGUGCCCCUUGCAAUUGUCAUGGUAUGAAAUAAAAUCUGGGGAUGUGUU